rnacentral:rRNA from 1 species
UACGUAGGGGGCGAGCGUUGUCCGGAAUUACUGGGCGUAAAGGGCGAGUAGGCGGUUAUGUAAGUCAGAUGUGAAAUACCGGGGCUCAACCCCGGGGCUGCAUUUGAAACUGCAUAGCUUGAGUGCAGGAGAGGAAAGUGGAAUUCCCAGUGUAGCGGUGAUAUGCGUAGAUAUUGGGAGGAACACCAGUGGCGAAGGCGACUUUCUGGACUGUAACUGACGCUGAGGCGCGAAAGCGUGGGGAG